ensembl:lncRNA
GUCGGUGUCGAUGGGAUGAGUGUCGGUGUUGAUGUUGAUGGGAUGAGUGUCGGUGUCGAUGGGAUGAGUGUCGUUGUUGGUGGGAUGAGUGUCGGUGUUGAUGGGAUGUGUGUUUGGUGUUGAGUGUCGGUGUUGAUGAGUGUUGGUAUUGAUGGGAUGUGUGUCAGUGUUGGUGUUGAUGUUGAGUGUUGGUGUUGAUGGGAUGUGUGUCGGUGUUGAUGUGUGUCGGUGUUGAUGGGAUGUGUGUCGGUGUUGAUGGGAUGAGUGUCGGUGUUGAUGGGAUGUGGUGUCGGUAUUGAUGGGAUGUGUGUCGGUGUUGGUGUUGAGUGUCGGUGUUGA